GUCGGCUAGUAGAUCGUCACUGUCCGAUCGAACCACCACUGUCCGAUCGAACCGCAGGCCGACACCGACUGCGGACCGACUACGGGAGAGACCGCUGAGCGUCACAUU
rfam:Rhodococcus triatomae strain DSM 44892 genome assembly, contig: Ga0116918_109